AUGCAAAGGUUUGACCACGUCAGGAGCUGGUUCAUUGUGAGGAUUAACCCUGACAACAGCAAGUGCUCCUCAAAGUUCCAGGUCACCAAAAGAAGUGGGAAGAUGCAUGGUGCAAAGGAAGAACUCUGGCCUGAACCCUCAUGUAUCCUCCUUUAUUAAGGAGUUUCUGGAUUUCAGCUGGCAAAACUAUUAAGCUACUAAGAGCAAAUACGUUCUACACAGGAGUUGAAUUUGUACAUUUUUAAGAUUGUUCUUAUGACUGAAUCUGUUAAUGUCUGUUGUUUUAAAAUGCUCUUAAUAUGAAACUUUUAUGUAUAAAUGAAAUGUUUUCAAGUUUUUGGAAAACUGAAAGUACAAUCUGCAAGAAUAUUAAAAUGUUAUUUCAAGUAUUACAAUUGAACAAUUAAAUCAAUAAAAGAAGUUAAACAGUAUUUUGUUUCUUUUUAUAGUUUUUACUACUGAGACCUGUUGAAAUACAAUAAUUUGUACAGUUUUACAAUAAAUAGUAAAAGUGGACAACAACUUACAGUCAAUUUCACAGUGUAAAGUAAUAUUUUUAUUGUAUUAAAAUAUAUCAAUGGAGAAAAGAACAUAACAUUGUGUUUUACAGUAAAAAAUAUAUUAUAUUGUAAAUAAAUUUACAGCAAGUUAAGUGGUGCUGUAAAUAUGAAUACAGUAUCUUUACUGUAAGUUUAAUUUACAGUAAGUUACUGGCAAACUGCUGCCAGUAAGUUACUGUAAUUUCUACAGGAAAUUUUUUACAGUGUAUGGUUGCUUGGAUUUUAUAUAUAUAUAUAUGUAUAUAUAUAUAUAUAUAUAUAUAUAUAUAUAUAUAUAUAUAUAUAUAUAUAUAUAUAUAUAUAUAUAUUCAGGCAAAAGGAGCCCCAACUAAGUAUUGAGUGCUGUACAUGCUCAUACUUUUCAUGUUCAUUUCAUACUUUUCAGUUGGCCACGAUUUCUAAAAAUCCUUUCUUUGUAUUGGUCUUAAGUAAUAUUCUAAUUUUCUGAGAUACUGAAUUUGGGAUUGUCCUUAGUUGUCAGUUAUAAACAUCAAAAUUAAAAGAAAUAAACAUUGAAAUAUAUCAGUUUGUGUGUAAUGAAUGAAUAUAAUAUACAAGUUUCACUUUUUGAAUGGAAUUAGUGAAAUAAAUCAACUUUUUGAUGAUAUUCUAAUUAUAUGACCAGCACCUGUAUGUGUAUAUAUAUAUAUAUAUAUAUAUAUAUAUAUAUAUAUAUAUAUAUAUAUACACCAAUGUACUGUAUGCAAGCAACAUAUAAAUAAUUAAUAUUUGUAAGUGUUUAAUGUCCAA
ensembl:lncRNA